UAAUUUUUAUUUACUUUGAUUUCUUCAUGGUAAGUGAACCUCAGUUUGUGAUGGAUAUUAAUAGGUGCAUUGGGAUACAGAGCAAAAUAGUGGGCAAUGGCAUGUUAUCAAACUUUAGUGAUCAUAAUUCACAAAUGUUUCUUGAAGCAGGAGUUAAUGGCAACACUCAGAAACCUUUGACUAUUUUGAGUUUAAAUAUUAAAUAAAUUAUGAAAUGUAUGGGAUGAAAAUUAAAGUAGUUUAUCUACAAUAUUUUGAAAAAUAAUAUCUACAGAGAACAGUGUGAUGAAAGGACGCAAACUCAUCGUCAGUGAAUAAAAGGGCUAAUGUUACUGAAAUGACGGAAUCUAGUCUCUCGUCAAUUCUUUAACCAUUACCAAAAACUGUGACUGGACCUGCAUCAUCGCCGCAGCAAGACAUAAUACUUUCUAAUCCUCCUCAAAGUCACAUUAUCGCAAUACUAAUGGAUGAUAUUGGAUUCACCUGAGCCUCCCUAAGGCUAAAUUUCUAUCUCCUAGUUAUAUGUUCACAUGUACUGACUUCACGUGUACUAAGGAAUGAUUUAUACAAAAUAAUUUUCUUAAAUAUGUAAGGAAUGAUUGUUUCAAGUAA